UUGACCUCGGAUCAGGUAGGAAUACCCGCUGAACUUAAGCAUAUCAAUAAGCGGAGGAAAAGAAACCAACAGGGAUUGCCUCAGUAACGGCGAGUGAAGCGGCAACAGCUCAAAUUUGAAAUCUGGCCUCACGGUCCGAGUUGUAAUUUGUAGAGGAUGCUUUUGGCGAGGUGCUUUCCGAGUUCCCUGGAACGGGACGCCAUAGAGGGUGAGAGCCCCGUACGGUAAGACCACCGAGCCUCUGUAAAGCUCCUUCGACGAGUCGAGUAGUUUGGGAAUGCUGCUCUAAAUGGGAGGUGUACGUCUUCUAAAGCUAAAUACCGGCCAGAGACCGAUAGCGCACAAGUAGAGUGAUCGAAAGAUGAAAAGCACUUUGAAAAGAGGGUUAAAAAGUACGUGAAAUUGUUGAAAGGGAAGCAUUCAUGACCAGACUUGGGCUUGGUUGAACAUCCGGCGUUCUCGCCGGUGCACUCUGCCAGUCCAGGCCAGCAUCAGUUUGCCCCGGGGGACAAAGGCGGUGGGAAUGUGGCUCCCUUCGGGGAGUGUUAUAGCCCGCCGUGUAAUGCCCUGGGGCGGACUGAGGAACGCGCUCGGCACGAUGCGCUAU
rnacentral:rRNA from 1 species